rnacentral:rRNA from 1 species
GGGUUGUGAGGUUAAGCGACUAAGCGUACACGGUGGAUGCCCUGGCAGUCAGAGGCGAUGAAGGACGUGCUAAUCUGCGAUAAGCGUCGGUAAGGUGAUAUGAACCGUUAUAACCGGCGAUUUCCGAAUGGGGAAACCCAGUGUGUUUCGACACACUAUCAUUAACUGAAUCCAUAGGUUAAUGAGGCGAACCGGGGGAACUGAAACAUCUAAGUACCCCGAGGAAAAGAAAUCAACCGAGAUUCCCCCAGUAGCGGCGAGCGAACGGGGAGCAGCCCAGAGCCUGAAUCAGUGUGUGUGUUAGUGGAAGCGUCUGGAAAGGCGCGCGAUACAGGGUGACAGCCCCGUACACAAAAAUGCACAUACUGUGAGCUCGAUGAGUAGGGCGGGACACGUGGUAUCCUGUCUGAAUAUGGGGGGACCAUCCUCCAAGGCUAAAUACUCCUGACUGACCGAUAGUGAACCAGUACCGUGAGGGAAAGGCGAAAAGAACCCCGGCGAGGGGAGUGAAAAAGAACCUGAAACCGUGUACGUACAAGCAGUGGGAGCACGCUUAGGCGUGUGACUGCGUACCUUUUGUAUAAUGGGUCAGCGACUUAUAUUCUGUAGCAAGGUUAACCGAAUAGGGGAGCCGAAGGGAAACCGAGUCUUAACUGGGCGUUAAGUUGCAGGGUAUAGACCCGAAACCCGGUGAUCUAGCCAUGGGCAGGUUGAAGGUUGGGUAACACUAACUGGAGGACCGAACCGACUAAUGUUGAAAAAUUAGCGGAUGACUUGUGGCUGGGGGUGAAAGGCCAAUCAAACCGGGAGAUAGCUGGUUCUCCCCGAAAGCUAUUUAGGUAGCGCCUCGUGAAUUCAUCUCCGGGGGUAGAGCACUGUUUCGGCAAGGGGGUCAUCCCGACUUACCAACCCGAUGCAAACUGCGAAUACCGGAGAAUGUUAUCACGGGAGACACACGGCGGGUGCUAACGUCCGUCGUGAAGAGGGAAACAACCCAGACCGCCAGCUAAGGUCCCAAAGUCAUGGUUAAGUGGGAAACGAUGUGGGAAGGCCCAGACAGCCAGGAUGUUGGCUUAGAAGCAGCCAUCAUUUAAAGAAAGCGUAAUAGCUCACUGGUCGAGUCGGCCUGCGCGGAAGAUGUAACGGGGCUAAACCAUGCACCGAAGCUGCGGCAGCGACGCUUAUGCGUUGUUGGGUAGGGGAGCGUUCUGUAAGCCUGCGAAGGUGUGCUGUGAGGCAUGCUGGAGGUAUCAGAAGUGCGAAUGCUGACAUAAGUAACGAUAAAGCGGGUGAAAAGCCCGCUCGCCGGAAGACCAAGGGUUCCUGUCCAACGUUAAUCGGGGCAGGGUGAGUCGACCCCUAAGGCGAGGCCGAAAGGCGUAGUCGAUGGGAAACAGGUUAAUAUUCCUGUACUUGGUGUUACUGCGAAGGGGGGACGGAGAAGGCUAUGUUGGCCGGGCGACGGUUGUCCCGGUUUAAGCGUGUAGGCUGGUUUUCCAGGCAAAUCCGGAAAAUCAAGGCUGAGGCGUGAUGACGAGGCACUACGGUGCUGAAGCAACAAAUGCCCUGCUUCCAGGAAAAGCCUCUAAGCAUCAGGUAACAUCAAAUCGUACCCCAAACCGACACAGGUGGUCAGGUAGAGAAUACCAAGGCGCUUGAGAGAACUCGGGUGAAGGAACUAGGCAAAAUGGUGCCGUAACUUCGGGAGAAGGCACGCUGAUAUGUAGGUGAAGUCCCUCGCGGAUGGAGCUGAAAUCAGUCGAAGAUACCAGCUGGCUGCAACUGUUUAUUAAAAACACAGCACUGUGCAAACACGAAAGUGGACGUAUACGGUGUGACGCCUGCCCGGUGCCGGAAGGUUAAUUGAUGGGGUUAGCGCAAGCGAAGCUCUUGAUCGAAGCCCCGGUAAACGGCGGCCGUAACUAUAACGGUCCUAAGGUAGCGAAAUUCCUUGUCGGGUAAGUUCCGACCUGCACGAAUGGCGUAAUGAUGGCCAGGCUGUCUCCACCCGAGACUCAGUGAAAUUGAACUCGCUGUGAAGAUGCAGUGUACCCGCGGCAAGACGGAAAGACCCCGUGAACCUUUACUAUAGCUUGACACUGAACAUUGAGCCUUGAUGUGUAGGAUAGGUGGGAGGCUUUGAAGUGUGGACGCCAGUCUGCAUGGAGCCGACCUUGAAAUACCACCCUUUAAUGUUUGAUGUUCUAACGUGGACCCGUAAUCCGGGUUGCGGACAGUGUCUGGUGGGUAGUUUGACUGGGGCGGUCUCCUCCUAAAGAGUAACGGAGGAGCACGAAGGUUGGCUAAUCCUGGUCGGACAUCAGGAGGUUAGUGCAAUGGCAUAAGCCAGCUUGACUGCGAGCGUGACGGCGCGAGCAGGUGCGAAAGCAGGUCAUAGUGAUCCGGUGGUUCUGAAUGGAAGGGCCAUCGCUCAACGGAUAAAAGGUACUCCGGGGAUAACAGGCUGAUACCGCCCAAGAGUUCAUAUCGACGGCGGUGUUUGGCACCUCGAUGUCGGCUCAUCACAUCCUGGGGCUGAAGUAGGUCCCAAGGGUAUGGCUGUUCGCCAUUUAAAGUGGUACGCGAGCUGGGUUUAGAACGUCGUGAGACAGUUCGGUCCCUAUCUGCCGUGGGCGCUGGAGAACUGAGGGGGGCUGCUCCUAGUACGAGAGGACCGGAGUGGACGCAUCACUGGUGUUCGGGUUGUCAUGCCAAUGGCACUGCCCGGUAGCUAAAUGCGGAAGAGAUAAGUGCUGAAAGCAUCUAAGCACGAAACUUGCCCCGAGAUGAGUUCUCCCUGACUCCUUGAGAGUCCUGAAGGAACGUUGAAGACGACGACGUUGAUAGGCCGGGUGUGUAAGCGCAGCGAUGCGUUGAGCUAACCGGUACUAAUGAACCGUGAGGCUUAACCUUACAACGCCGAAGGUGUUU